rnacentral:rRNA from 1 species
AUUGAACGCUGGCGGCAGGCCUAACACAUGCAAGUCGAACGAGUGGCGGACGGUUGAGUAAUGUCUGGGAAACUGACCGAUGGAGGGGGAUAACUACUGGAAACGGUAGCUAAUACCGCAUACCAUCGGAUGUGCCCAGAUGGUAUUAGAUAGUAGGUGGGGUCACGGCUUACCUAGGCGACGCUCCCUAGCUGGUCUGAGAGGAUGACCAGCCACACUGGAACUAGGACACGGUCCAGACUCCUACGGGAGGCAGAAGUGGGGAAUAUUGCACAAUGGGCGCAAGCCUGAUGCAGCCAUGCCGCGUGUAUGAAGAAGGCCUUCGGGUUGUAAAGUACUUUCAGCGAGGAGGCGUUACUCGCAGAAGAAGCACCGGCUAACUCCGUGCCAGCCGCCGCGGUAAUAC